UACGUAGGGUGCAAGCGUUGUCCGGAAUUAUUGGGCGUAAAGAGCUCGUAGGCGGUCUGUCGCGUCUGCUGUGAAAACUCGGGGCUUAACCCCGGGCCUGCAGUGGGUACGGGCAGACUAGAGUGCGGUAGGGGAGACUGGAAUUCCUGGUGUAGCGGUGAAAUGCGCAGAUAUCAGGAGGAACACCGGUGGCGAAGGCGGCAUCCUGGACCGGUAUUGACGCUGAGGCGCGAAAGCCAGGGGAGCAAACGGG
rnacentral:rRNA from 1 species